CCUAAUACAUGCAAGUCGAGCGGACGGAUGGGAGCUUGCUCCCUGAAGUCAGCGGCGGACGGGUGAGUAACACGUGGGCAACCUGCCUGUAAGACUGGGAUAACUCCGGGAAACCGGGGCUAAUACCGGAUAACUCUUUUCCUCACAUGAGGAAAAGCUGAAAGAUGGUUUCGGCUAUCACUUACAGAUGGGCCCGCGGCGCAUUAGCUAGUUGGUGAGGUAACGGCUCACCAAGGCCACGAUGCGUAGCCGACCUGAGAGGGUGAUCGGCCACACUGGGACUGAGACACGGCCCAGACUCCUACGGGAGGCAGCAGUAGGGAAUCUUCCGCAAUGGACGAAAGUCUGACGGAGCAACGCCGCGUGAGUGAUGAAGGUUUUCGGAUCGUAAAACUCUGUUGUCAGGGAAGAACAAGUACCGGAGUAACUGCCGGUACCUUGACGGUACCUGACCAGAAAGCCACGGCUAACUACGUGCCAGCAGCCGCGGUAAUACGUAGGUGGCAAGCGUUGUCCGGAAUUAUUGGGCGUAAAGCGCGCGCAGGCGGUUCCUUAAGUCUGAUGUGAAAGCCCCCGGCUCAACCGGGGAGGGUCAUUGGAAACUGGGGAACUUGAGUGCAGAAGAGAAGAGUGGAAUUCCACGUGUAGCGGUGAAAUGCGUAGAGAUGUGGAGGAACACCAGUGGCGAAGGCGACUCUUUGGUCUGUAACUGACGCUGAGGCGCGAAAGCGUGGGGAGCAAACAGGAUUAGAUACCCUGGUAGUCCACGCCGUAAACGAUGAGUGCUAAGUGUUAGAGGGUUUCCGCCCUUUAGUGCUGCAGCAAACGCAUUAAGCACUCCGCCUGGGGAGUACGGCCGCAAGGCUGAACUCAAAGGAAUUGACGGGGGCCCGCACAGCGGUGAGCAUGUGUUUAAUUCGAAGCACGCGAGACCUUACCAGGUCUUGACAUCUCCUGACACCCUAGAGAUAGGGCGUUCCCUUCGGGGACAGG
rnacentral:rRNA from 1 species